rnacentral:lncRNA from 1 species
CUAUUUAUUCUGCCCUGGCCAAGGUCUUCUAAACUCGGUCUCAUAAAUCACAUAGGACUAACACCCCUAUCUACCAAGGGAGAUAGAUUCCAUCUGAGUGCGCACCCUAUUCCUACAAUGAACCUACUGCAGCCAACAUGCACCGCAAGGACCCGAAUGGCUAGGGACCAAGUGUAUGUACAGUCAAACUACAGUAACCUCAUUGUGAAUAGCCGAGGCACCGCAGGUCAAAGGACCAGUCACACUACUGCAACAAUUGAGUAAGUCACUGACGAGUGAGUAGACAUCCAAGUGACUUCUCGCGUUGGUCACGCUCGGUACCCUUGUUCUCUAACAACCACCUGCAUAUUCGCUUCAGUGUCCCCACACUGUCGACUCGAAACUCGUCUACCCUGAAAGGGAAGCGACUUAUGCACCAAUCUCAUCGGAUCAAUCACCGUCCCCGUGAUGAUCCAUUGAUCGGGAGCAUUUGGGAAUUAAUCACCAAUGACACAUGUCUCAAAUUCUCAACACUUGAGAAUAUAUGUCAUCAUCUUAUUAAUUCCUUGGACGAUUCAUGGACACAUACACAACAUGAAUGGAAAUAAAAACCCAAAGUUAUUCAUAAUAUUUUAAAAUCAAAUACAAAAUUAUGUCCUAGAAAGAAUACAUGUGUCGGCCUGGUUGGCUUCUAGGGCAUACAUCUAACAGAUGUAUCCGUUGUGGGCAGCCAGGCCAUAUGCGGGAUGAGUGUCCGCAAGGUGAUAGCCGGGCCUUAGUGUUGGCGACGACUUUUUCCUCUCCGGGACAGCCGGCGGGUGUGCCACCUGCGGCACGAUCAGGAGAGCGGGUGAUGACAGUGAUGCAAUCGAGGGCUCCGCGGCGGGCGCCAAGUGGCUAUGGACACGCGACCCAGCUUGUGGGACCUGCUGCUGACGACGUCGUGGCAGGUAUGAGUUAUUCAUGCAGUUAUGUGUUUCGGCAUGAUGUAAAGUUGGAGCGUCACAUGCAUUGAGUAUAUAGUUAAUUACUACUCUUUAUGUAGUAGUAUAGUAAGGACCAAGAAUGUGAUAUGCCGAAGAAUUCGGAAAGUAAAUGUCGAACUUUAGUCAAAUUGACCGAAGUGCGAGGUUGCUAUGCUUCGGAACGACCGAAGGCGUUAGAAUGAGUAAAAGUGCAUUGUGGGAGGUUUUCGAGAGCUUAAGAAUCAAAAUCUGCAAACUGCAGUUUUUGGGCUCUCGGGGACCGGUCCCUGCUGGAGAGACCAGUCCCCGAGCGCAUGAGAAACCCAGCAGAGGAGAAAAAAAAAUUGGCUAAGUCCCAGAAAACAGGCUCUCAGGAACCGGUCCCUAUGGGAGAGACUGGUCCCCGAGAGACCGGUCCCUCUGGGUGAGACCGGUUGCAUUGCGGGGGGCAAGAUUGCCCAAAACCCAGGCUUAUUGUAGCACGCUAUAGUAGCGUACAACGCUCGAGUACAGGUACUCGUGGAGUGCGAAGAUGGAUCCGCCGAGUGAGUUUGUUGGCAGUAGCACUUGGGCGUUGCCAAGUGUGAAGCGCGCCAUGGAUCACUCGUGGGGCUGUGCAUAGGAGCCGGUAGUGACACGCAUUGCUCGAUAGAGCAUGUAAUGCGAUUGAGAGAAUACCGAGAGUACGAUGUGACCCAACCCGAGAAUUUGUAAUGGUUUGGGAUUUUAGUUGCUCCUGGUUGGAGUGUGUGCGAAUUCCCAAGUGAGAAUUUCGCCCCAGUGAUGAUUGGGUCUACGCUUGCAAGCGAGAGGCGCUGCGCGUAUAUUGAGGCAGGUUUAGGCUGUGGACCUACGUAGUAUUGGUGGCCUUUGGACCACCAAUGAAGACCGAGGAAAGCGAUUUGACAGAUAGCCUUAUCGAGGAGUUUGACUUGAAUUCACGAACGAAGUGUUCGUGUGAGUUGUUGCAAAGGUGAUGUGAUGUUGACCGUGGCAUAUGGUAUCAGGUGAUGAAGUGCUCUUGGAGAGACCUUGAGCUUAUGGCAAGCCACGUGGAAUUCGAGGAUUGGAAUUGGGAUGCGCCGAGGUGGGCCAUCUCACGUCAAAGUUAAAGUUUAGUGCGGAAUUAGAGCACUUACGAUGAAGCGAUGCACCGGUGAUAUUGCUUUUAGGCAAUGUCGGUGAUUGAUUUGAAAUGCAUUCCCUGAAGGGGAAGUAAAUGCAAAGAAGAGUUCUUGCUUGUCAAGUGGCAAGUGGAGUUGGAGCGCGUAGAGUCGUCAAGUUUCGACUUGCGCUUCCACAUAGAGUGACGGAGACCGUAAUGCACUUUGUGAGAUGUGCCUUGCAAAGUUGGAUGCGUUUGGUAUCAUGAGCUCCGUAGUAGUCCUCUUGGAUAGUUCCAAAGAGUGUAAAGCCCUUCCGAAGUGGAAAAGUGCAUUGGUGCCCUCAAUUGCUCGAGGAGCUGAAUUGAGGUGUGGUUUGAGUUUCGCGGACGAAACUCUUUUUAAGGGGUGGAGAAUGUAAUUUACCGAACUUCUAAUUCAUGAAGUUAUGAUGUAUGUUAGCUUAGAAAGCCAUUGGAAUCAUUCCGGCGGAGUUUGGGAGCAUUCGGGUGCUUCGGUGCGGAUAGGGCGCGAAAACGGAACCCGAAAGGCUAUGUUGGACCAUGGACUAAAUCCGGCAUUAGUGUGGAUGAAAAGAUGAUGAAAACAUGUUUGAAAACAUGUUUGGAGAGUCCCGGUUCGAUUUGAAAAGAAUCGGAGGUCAAACGAGCGAAAACGAGCGAAAACGGAGUGAAAAAGGAUAAAGGCUGAAAAUGCUGAAAAAUUGGCUAAGUCUGGAAUUCUGGCCUUUCGGGGACUGGUCUCUCACCGCAAGGACCGGUCCCAGAGCCCCGAAAAUGCCCAGUUUGGGCUGAAGCAAGAAGAGGAUUGUUGAGGGACUUGUUGGCAUUUUGUGCAUGAGUUGAGUGUAUAGAGAGGAUUAGAACCUCUCUUUCUCUCUUUCCCUUAUCAUUUCACCCCCAAAACUCUCCCUCUCUCUCUCUAGAAAGGAAAGGAGAAGAGAAGAAGAAGAAGAGAAAGAAGAAGAAGAAAAGGAAAAGAAGGUGAAGCAAGUGGAGAGCUUCCCUCCAUCAUCUUCUUCUUCACCUUGGAGCAAACCUAGAGAGGUAAGCUUCUUGAAGCUCUAAUGGUAGAUCUUCAUGGCUAUGAUUAUAUACUCUAAAGAUGAUUUUAAUGGAAUCUUAGCAUGCUAAAUAGAUGGUUUAUGCUUGAUUCAUGAGAUGAAAUGGGGCAUUUUACAAUAGUUGCAUAUUAGGGCUCCAAAAAGGGGUUUUUGUAAAUAGUUGAGUUUGAUCUCAAUUGACCCUAUACAAACCUAAUUGGGGGUAUAACGAACGCGUUGGUGCGCUCGGUUCGACAAUCCGACGAGUGUACGCGAAGUUAUUGACGAAACAGUCUGUUUUGGUACAGAUAGCCGCAGCACGCGGGAUAAGCCUCCAAAAAUCAUGAAAAUGGAUCGGGAGCAUCGCGAUGUCGGGGAAUAAACUCCCGAACAGACGGAUCGCGGAUUGGUGGCCGUUCGGGUGGUCGCGCAAGAGUUCGAGCCGAACCGGGUCACGGAUGCCGCGGGAGGCCGAUUGUAAGUGACGACAAGCAAUCGGAACGCGUUAAAAGGUGGGUUGUGUUUACCGAAGCGACUAGGUCGCCUUCAUGCCAAAGUGUAGUGUGUUCCACUAUUGAUGCAUUAUAAGAAUGUUAAGUAAGAAUGCACCAUAAUGAUGCUAAUAAAUGUAUAUAAUGCCAUGAUAAAGAUGCUAAGAAAUGUAUGCAUGUGAAGUAUGCUAAUGAAUGCAAGAGCUAAAUGCUAAGUGAAUAUGUAAGACCUAUGUUAGAUAAAUGCAUGAGUUAAAUGCUAAGUAACAUGAGCUAGAUGCAUGUUUUAGAAAUGGAUGCAUGAUGGAAAUGCUAAAAGAAUGUGUAUUGACAUAAUGUAAGAAUGCUAAAUAAGAAUACAUGAUAAGAAUUGCUAAAUAAGAAUGCAUGAUAAGAAUUGCUAAAUAAGAAUGCAUGAUAAGAAUUGCUAAGUAAGAAUGCAUGUUGACAUGUUAUAGAAAUGCUAGAUGAAGCAUGAGUUAAAUGUUAAAGGCAUGUAUGAGAUGUAUGUUAAAUAAACAUAUGAGCUAGAUGAUGUAUAAAUGCAUGAUUUCAUAAUGAAGAAUAUGUUAGAAUGAUAUGAAGGUUGAACUUGAGUCAAUGAACUCUAAGUAAAGUAAAGAACUCGACAAGUGUCAUAUGUAAAGAAUCCUAAGUAUAAAUAACUAGGAUGACGAGUGGCAUUGAACCUAGUGUCAUUGAACAUAGGUUAUUCACGAGUGGCAUGUCAAGUAUGAUUCCUAGGUGUGGACAACUAGGAAAAUAAGAAUAUGAAUGGCAUUGAACCUAGAGUCAAGUAAACCUAGGUUGUGAACGUAAUGAUAUGGAACCUAGAGUCGAAUGAACCUAGGUGAUUAAGAAUGUUGAACCUAGUGUUAAUGAACCUAGGCUGAGAAGAUAAUGACAUUGAACCUAAUGUAUUAACUUAGGUUGAGUAAAGGCUUGGACCUAGAUAGGUCGAUAACAUAGGGUGAGACCAACCCUUGAGUUAUGUAAAGAGGAUUCCGGAAUCCCUGCUGCUAGUGCAGCGGCUGCUAGUGCAGCAUACAAGCUCGAUAGUUCUUGGCCGCGGGUGCAUGUGGCAUGUUCCUCUCCCACCGGAAGAACUUCGAGGCUUGUUAAUGAGCAAGAACAAUGAGCGCUAGGGUGCAUGUGGCAUGUUCCUCUCCCUAUCGGGGAUCUCGGCUGCGGGUGUAUGCGGCAUGUUCCUCUCCCACCGGGGGAUCCCUGACCACGGGUGUACGCAGCUCUGGGCGACCCGUUGGGCGAUGUGGUUUGUGAUUGAGGGCUGAGGUGCAUGUGUGAGUUCCUUCACCUCGAGCCGGACAGAGCGCGGACUAUCCGCAGUUGAUUGACUGAAGACCGAGUCGGAUGGCAUAGUUGGCUAAGGGAAAGUAACCUUAGGAAAGAAAGGCUAAUGUGUAUAAUAUUGCUAAGGCGUGAGUACCCUUAGUAAAGCAUAAAGAAUAAAGAAUAAAGUGUAAAGCAUAAAGAGUAAAAGAAUCAAGAAUAAGAAAAGGCUAAUGCUAAAGAAUGACAAGCAAUAAAGAAUGGAUAAGAAUAAAGUGUAGAAGCAAUUAAUCUACUAUAUGAGUUGCAUAAUUUGCAUAUUGCAUGUUGUGAGGCAAAAGCAUGGUAAUGUUAGUUGCAUGAUUUAUGAUUUCAUAUCUAUCUAUUGGACUAACAUGUUGUUUGCCUCCUUUGACCUGAUGGUCGAGCUCUUCCCUUGGGUGGCCGUACCCACUGGGAACUAUGGAGUUAGUUCUCACCCCACGUUGUUUCGGGGUUUUACAGGUUCACACGUGAGCGGCGCGGCGGCGCGAGGCAAGGGCGUAGCUCCAUAGAUAGCGCCCUACCACCGAGACCAGAGAUAGUGGUACCCCAAGUCGGCAUAGCCUAGGGGUAGAGAAAAAUGAAAGAACAAGAUGUAUCAAACUUGUAGUAAAUUUAUGAUAAUUGGAUUGUAUUUGGAAGUUGAAUGUAAACGAAUGUAAUUUGUAAUGUAAAAUGUAAUAUGUGAGAUGAAUGCUUGUAAUAGCAAGUAGAUUUAUGUUUUGAUACUUCCUUAUGCAAUCUUUGGUUGAAAUGUGUUCCUAGUUGGAACUUCGUACAUUGUAUUGAUUGCGACGCCUUGAACGUACAGGGGAGACUCUGUCCGCGGUACAGGGGAAACCCUGUCCGUUCGGCGGUCUGUUGGCGUGCCCGAAUCCGACCAAAGAGGCGGGCUCGGAGCGUGACACGAGCCGAGGGGCGGAGGCGCAAGGCGCGGGCGGGCGCUGGCGUGGUGUCACGGGUCAAUCGCUGGGACUCGACCAUGACAUCUUUGGGGGCCACAUUUGGUAGGCACUUGGGUUGACGAAGUUAUGGAGUUGCGGAGUUGAGGCGUUCCGUCGGGUGGGAGUCGCUGUCAAGUCAACGGAGGCAAUUCCCUAGCAAUGGCCCGUGCCAUGACAUGGAAAUAGAUGCUGCAUGCGGGGGCUAAAAACGUAUCCCUCGAUGAGCACCUUUGUACCCCCGGGGUGCCAAAGGGGUGGAUGCCUCAUUGGGUAUAUAGAGAAGGGGUGGCCACUUCGUAAGUGGCCCCGAGUCCCCUGUCGACCCACAGGACAUAGGUCGUCCCUUGGCUAGCGGAGUGGCCAAGCCUAGCGUUCCGUGUGACCAGGUAUUGGAUGGUUGAAGGGACACGGGCCUAGGGUAAUGUCGGAGACGCGAGAAGUCGACGACAUUACGGAGCGGGGAAUACCGGGAGGCUUUCCUCCUAGGAUCGCUUGCGCUACCUUAUGCCGGUUUGGAUCUUUGUAAUGAAGCGUACGAGCGGAUGAGGGAUAGUCUAGCGACGGAUGGUCCUCUGUAAAGGACAAGGCUCGUGAAGGCAAGUGUGCCGAGCGGGGAUUCGUGGGAUGAGACGCCCGCGAAGGCCUAAAGAGGCGGAACUCAAUAGGAGCGCUAAAGGGAGGCACGCCGAGGGAGAAUUCGUAGGACGGGAGGUCUACGAGAUUCGAGGGGCGGAACCUAAUGAGGGAAGCGGUAUCGGUAUCCGUAUAGUGAACCUUGAGAGACUGGACCAACGGUGUGAGCGGCCAGGCGUGGCCGAGCCGAGUACGGGGCCAGUGGCUAGCGAUGAGGAGUGAGGCCGGUCCGCGUGUAUGGGGCCUUAUGAGGCAAACCUAUGGGAGUCAAGGGCGCGGAGCGCCAUGGCAAAGCAAGGGUCGUGGGGACGGUCGAGAAGCACGGUGUGGACUUGUUGGUUCCCUUGCCAGGAGCGUUGGGACACGAGAGCCGUAGGGGUUGGAUGCGAAGCACGGAAGUGCGAAGCAUGAGCGUGCGGGGUGUCACGCCUAGUCGCUGGCAUUGGGAGAUAAGCGAGCUCGUGGCGCACACUUGGGUGACUUUUCGAAUGUAUGCCGUUGGACCGAGCGAGCAGGCCGCGUAGGCGGUAUGGCCAUGGACGUUGUCAAGCGCAUGUGGCACGAUGGUGAGGAACAUAUGGUUAGGAGUGCCCUUCGUGGCAUACGAUGUUGUGAAGACCGGACCUUGAUGCUAGAGGCGUGCGGAUUAAGCUGUAGGAGUGAAACGCGUGGGAGGCGAGACGCUUAGCUAUACUCAUAUGGGACAUGUUGGGGGGGAACUUGUAAUAUCCUUGGGGAUAGUGAUGAAGGCAGCAAGGCAUUCGGUUAUGAAGCACUCUCGAGGAGAGAUCAGUUGGCAAGACGGGAUGCACCUAGCUUGGUGGCCAACCUCGGUAUUGGGGUUGCUCGUUGGGAACUCGAGGAGUCCGACGAGGGGUUCGAUUACAGAUGAAGGGUCGGGCUAUAAGUCUCGCAGAGAAGCAAGCUUGGCAAAAUGCUUGGAUUGGUAUUCCGCCGUUAAGUUUGGGAGACUUGUCCGUAUAGAGGACUCGAGAAGGCUGGCUCGGGUGUGCGACACUUGAGCGCUGCACGGGAAUUUUUAAGGCAAAAAAGCUAACCCCGUGACAGUAGGGCGAGCUGGCGCGGUCGCUGGCACGGGCGCGAGCGUGGGCGAGCGUGAGUGGGCAGGCGCGAGCCGAGGGGUAGAGGCGCGGGCCGCGAGCAGGCGCCGGCGCGAGAGGGCGUCGGCCCAGUGUGGGUGGGGCGCGAGCGCGCGCGCAUGGUGGGCCCCAUGUGGGCGGGGCCCAGCCAUGGGAGGGGAAGGAUAUGAACACUCCUCUCUCUCUCUCUCUCUCUCAUUCAAAAUUUAAAUUUUGUAUUAUUAAAUUCUCCAAUUGAGCAUUAAAUUUAAAAAUAAUUUUUUUAAUUUUCAAUCUACUUUAGUCUUUUUUUAUUAUAAAAAAUAUAUAAAUAAUUGUUAAAUAGUUUUAGGCUGUUGGUGUUAAAUAUAAAUAUUAAAAUAUUGUAUAUAAUUUUAUAUUUUACGAAAGUUAGUUGCGAGAAUUAUAUGAAAUAUACUAACUAAAAUAUUAGUACGCACAAGAUGUAAGGAAAGAUUUCUCUUUUCAUUUCACUAACUAAUGGGGGACUAUCAUGACUAAUGAAAAUUUUGAAUGAACUCAUUGUACUAUUUAUUCCUUAGACACGCGUUUAGAAUAAUUAGCAUGGAGUAAUUUCAUUUGUACCCCUCAAAAGAUUAAAAAUAACAUAAAUAACAUUACAAAAUUAGUAAUAUAAAAGCAAACAAAAGAGAAUAAGAUAAGAAAAUAUUUAAUAAAGUUAAAGAAUUAUUUCAAAAUAGCUUAUUGUUGAUAGAGCUUCUUAUAAUUUCUAUGUUAGGAAAGAUAGUUGUAUUUAUUUAAAAUUGUUCUGUAAUUUGCCCGUAAUAUUUUAUAAUUAUCCUAAAAAUAAUUUUUAUAAUUAAUUUUAAAUAUUGAAUUUUAAGAUAACUAUUCGCAGCAAUGCACGGUCCCUUAACUAGUAAAUAAAUAUUUAUGAUUAUGUGAUUCAGUAAUACUACAGGGUCGCUCUUUGAAUCCGAUUUUUUGUUUUUAAACAUUGGAAAUAAUAGUAAUAAUAAUAAUAAUAAUAAUAAUAAUAAUAAUGUGAUGACAUGCAUUUACCUCGCUCGGCCGGCCGGCCCGACAGGGCACUGGCACCGGGCGGUUGCUCCCUCCAGGCACGUGAAGGCGGUGGCGACCGUUAAAGGCUCCUCCUAACAGCCCCCUCUAAGAUCGCGACACGUGUCCGGCUGGCCUCUGCACGCGCUACGUACGGCCGCGCUCCCCCAGCGCUGACGUGCCUGCCUCUCACGAGGGAGGGGCCGCGCGCGGAGUCACGUACUUUGAGAGCAGCAGCAGCAGCAGGGACGGGAGACGGGGGGUGGGGGGAAACUAAUCAAAUUUCGCGUACAUUUUAUUUUAUAUACAACACUCCGUGCACCAGAUAUUUCUUUUACAUUCCUUCUUAUUAUUAAUUAAUUAAUAGAUAAUAAUUCAAAAUUAAAAUAUAAAUAUUCGGCAUCUUCUUAAAAAAAAAUGAAUGACGAAUUAAUGGUCUAUCCUGAAAUUUAUUAAAAUAAUAAUAACUACAUAUUAAAAUAAUAUUUUUAAAAAAUCUUUUUUUUUUUUUGCACUGCAUAUUUAUUAUUUUCUUUUAAUCCCAGAAAAUGAAAGCAAGAGCUUGAGAUCAUGGACAGUAACAUAAAAAUUUAUUAUCUGACCAUUUUAUUAUUAAACUAGUCAAGUGUUUUUUUUUUUUAUGUUAAUUUUCAAAAACUUGGCUAGCUAGCGACUUCUAGAGGUACGGGCGGCGCAUAAGAUGUAGUUAUAGAGCCGGCGCACGCAAGGAUUUCGCGAGGGGAGGGCGUGUCAGCGCCUCCGGCCUGCCGCUCUCCACGUGGGGCCCAGUGCAUGGCUGACCAGCAGGUGGGCCCCACAACAUGCCCUGCAGAUCUCAGCCUGGGGGAGGGUGAGAGGUCAUACCCCAUACUACCCCUCAAGAAUUUAAUCAUUAUUAUAUCUGUAUCUUUGUUUUUGUUCUUUUCUUUUUCUUUUCUGAAUAUCGAAUAUUUCCAACAUUUUAAUGUCGGUUUCCCAAUCUACCCCUUGGUCUCCAAGCUCGCCAGCGGCUCGCCCCCGGCUCCGUCAAAGGUUAUGUGUAAAAUUGUAGGGAGAUACCUCAACUACAGGUGUUUUUUUUUUCUUUAAAUAAAAAAAUUAAACUGAUCAAUUAUUGAACAAUUAUUUUAUCAAUUAAAUUUAAAAUUUUAUCCAAUUUAUUAUAUAAUCUAAAUGUUUUCUCAUUAAUGAGAUUGCGCGUUUUGUUUUCCUUUAGUGAUUUGAUAGAUAACAGAGUCAAUAAUUUAUUUCCACAAAUCUUUGUUAUUUCUUAAAAAUAAUUAAGAAAAAGGAUAAAUGCACAAAUAGUUUAAUUAGCUUUUAAUACGGCCAAUUUCGUGUUACGUACAAUUCAUCGAGAAGCUUGACCUUGCUAAGUUUGGUUGAACAUUUCGUUGAGCUCGGCAAAUUCUCUAAUAAGUAAUUCCGAAAAUACUUAAAUGGCUAUAAGUUUUCGUGCGAAUGCUCGUUUUUAGAGUUCAACUUAAAUUCGGAAACACUUUUCAAAACCUAUGAGCUAAACUGCAUUAUUGUUAUGUUCUAGUUUGGAACCCCAAAUUUAACUGUUUAGGGUUUCAAAUUUGAACUUUUAGGCUUUUUUUUGUAUGUCUUUUUUUUUCCCCCUAUAUUGAGUUACAAUGCUGAGUCAGCUGUGAUUAUUUUUGGUUAGAUUGGAUUUAGAAAUUUUUUAAAUUCUGUUUUUUCUCCUAGCAGGGUGUUAGAAAAUUGUGUACGGUAAAAACGCAACGGAAAGAAAUCAAACAAAUUUGAUUUUGAAAACUUUUGAGAUCCAAUCUCAAUAACGAGGUAAUUAGGAUCCCUCAUAUUCUUUAAGAUUAAAGGAGAAAAGUAAAAUCGAAUCUUUACCUUUUUCGCGGAUUGAUCUCACCUCAACUUGAUGAUCGUGGAAUCGGGUUCUCUUGAAGCCGCACACGCGUCCGGCCUCUAUAGGUAUCUACACAAGGUUCUUGAUUUGAUCGAUGUCCUCACCAAGGUGCUAGCUCCUUUGCAAAGGACGUCUUUUUGCUAGAAUAUGGAAGAGAGAGAAGAAGAGAGAUGACGGCUAGGGUUUUCUAAAAACUCCCGUAUUAUUUUAUAGAGGAAUAUAAUUCUCUUUUUAAUAAUAUAAUAACCAUUAAGGAUAAGUACAAAUCUAGAUUUAGAUUUAUCCUUUCCUUAAUUGGUUAGAUCGAUCAAAUCCUAAUUUGAUUCGACUUGAACUUUAUAUUAAUUUGAUCAUAUCAAAUUAAUAAUACAACAUUCGCACAUAAGUCCUCUUAUAAUUUACUAACUAUUAGUAAGUCCUCUCUUGUAACAUUUACACCUUAAUACCACUAAUUUGUAACAAUUACAAAUUAGUCCAAUUAUCAAUAUAUUGACAAUUAGGUCCUCCGGCGAUUCAAUAAUCGCGAUCUAGCUAUCCGAUCAAUCACAACCUCUUAUGUGUGUGACCCCAUAGGUUCUAUUUUAUCUGGUAGCGAGAUAUAUUUUGAUCACUAUCAACAAUAUCACUGAAACUCCUUUCAGUGGAUCGGAACAAUUCCAACUCAGCCCAAUAAGAAUUAUCGAUCAUCUAGAUAAUUCUCAUGAGUCUUACAAUCCACCAGUGACUCCUAGCAGCAUGUAGUGGCAUUCCAGUAGAAUGGAAUACUGAACCUUUUGGUGUAGUUACCGUGUGAUAUAAUCCUUCUAUCAUGAGUCCCGACUAGACGGAGAUUAUGGAAUAACUCGUCAAACCCCAUCGUCUGUCAUAAGUUAAAUUUAUUUGACUCGAGUUUCUAAUAUCGGAAACCCUUUUCCGCUAUUAACUCUGCCCUGGCCAAGGUCUUCUAAACUCGGUCUCAUAAAUCACAUAGGACUAACACCCAUAUCUACUAAGGGAGGUAGAUUUCAUCUAAGUGCGUACCCUAUUCCUACAAUGAACCUACUGCAACCAACAUGCACCGCAAGGACUCGAAUGGCUAGGGACCAAGUGUAUGUACAGUCAAACUACAUUAACCUCAUUGUGAAUAGCCGAGACACCGCAGGUCAAAGGACCAGUCAUACUACUGCAACAUUGAGUAAGUCACUGACGAGUGAGUAGACAUCCAAGUGACU